GACGAACGCUGGCGGCGUGCUUAACACAUGCAAGUCGAACGGAAAGGCCCUGCUUUUGUGGGGUGCGCGAGUGGCGAACGGGUGAGUAACACGUGAGUAACCUGCCCUUGACUUUGGGAUAACUUCAGGAAACUGGGUCUAAUACCGGAUAGGAGCUCCUGCUGCAUGGUGGGGGUUGGAAAGUUUCGGCGGUUGGGGAUGGACUCGCGGCUUAUCAGCUUGUUGGUGGGGUAGUGGCUUACCAAGGCUUUGACGGGUAGCCGGCCUGAGAGGGUGACCGGCCACAUUGGGACUGAGAUACGGCCCAGACUCCUACGGGAGGCAGCAGUGGGGAAUAUUGCACAAUGGGCGGAAGCCUGAUGCAGCAACGCCGCGUGCGGGAUGACGGCCUUCGGGUUGUAAACCGCUUUCGCCUGUGACGAAGCGUGAGUGACGGUAAUGGGUAAAGAAGCACCGGCUAACUACGUG
rnacentral:rRNA from 1 species